GCUCUACCAUCUGAGCUACAUCCCCAUGAAUU
rnacentral:sRNA from 1 species